rnacentral:rRNA from 1 species
UAAUGCAAGUCGAGCGCGUGAACUAACUGAUCCCUUCGGGGUGACGUUAGUGGAUCGAGCGGCGGACGGGUGAGUAACACGUGGGCAACCUGCCCUGCAGAUCGGGAUAACUUCGGGAAACCGGAGCUAAUACCGGGUAACAAAUGGAAUCGCAUGAUUCCAUUUUGAAAGUUGGGUUUUACCUAACACUGCAGGAUGGGCCCGCGGCGCAUUAGCUAGUUGGUGAGGUAACGGCUCACCAAGGCAACGAUGCGUAGCCGACCUGAGAGGGUGAUCGGCCACACUGGGACUGAGACACGGCCCAAACUCCUACGGGAGGCAGCAGUAGGGAAUCUUCCGCAAUGGACGAAAGUCUGACGGAGCAACGCCGCGUGAGCGAUGAAGGCCUUCGGGUCGUAAAGCUCUGUUGUUAGGGAAGAACAAGUACCGUUCGAAUAGGGCGGUACCUUGACGGUACCUAACCAGAAAGCCACGGCUAACUACGUGCCAGCAGCCGCGGUAAUACGUAGGUGGCAAGCGUUGUCCGGAAUUAUUGGGCGUAAAGCGCGCGCAGGCGGUCUCUUAAGUCUGAUGUGAAAGCCCACGGCUCAACCGUGGAGGGUCAUUGGAAACUGGGGGACUUGAGUACAGAAGAGGAGAGUGGAAUUCCACGUGUAGCGGUGAAAUGCGUAGAGAUGUGGAGGAACACCAGUGGCGAAGGCGGCUCUCUGGUCUGUAACUGACGC